GAGGCAGACAAGAUUAAAUUAAUCAUAGAUUCACAGAAUCACCAAGAUUGGAAAAGACCUACAAGAUCAUCCAGUCCAACCAUCCACCACCUAUUCCCAACAGUUCUCACUAAACCAUGUCCCUCAACAUGAUGUCUAAAUGUUUCUUGAACACCUCCCUGUGUUCCAGUGAUUCCACCACCUCCCUGGGCAGCCCAUUCCAGUGCCUGACCACUCUCUCAGAGAAGUAGUAUUUCCUAACGUCCAGCCUGAAUCACACCUGGUGCAACUUGAGGCCAUUUCCUCUAGUCCUAUCUCUAGUUACAUGCAGUGAAACAGGCAAGAUCACUGAAAGUGGGACAAAGGGUGGGUAGUGAAUUAUUUGAAUCCCAUGCUUGGGAUGUUUUAACUGUUUUCACAUAACCUGAAAAAAUGUGAACUGGAAAUGUGAGGUCAUUUGUUCUUUCCUUCUUACCACCAUCACACUGCAGGUAGCAAGUGAUGACAAGCAGUGUUGUCAGCACAACACUGUUCCCUCUUGUUUCCUCCAAGUUUCCUCUUUCUGAAAUUGGCCUUGUAGGCAAAUUCACACCCAGGUUCAAGGAGGCUAUUACUCGAGCUUGUGGAUUAGGUGCACAUCAUUACUUAGAUGAAUGAGGAUGUAAUAGAUUGUGCAUCUGCUUUAUAUUCUAAGAUGAUUCCAAUUCAAUCAUUAUAUUCUCUCAAAGGAUAAGUAACUCAUUAGACAUAGAACUAGCAGUGAGAAGCUGAGGUCUUAAUUGUGGUUUUGAUGAUGAUGUACUGUUUGACACCUACAAGUUAAAUAUCUCUUUGAAUCUCAGUUCUUUCACUGCAGAAUGGCAAUAAUUCUGUGCCACUCGUGUCAAAAACCAAUACUAUGAAAAAGUUUUGUGGAAAGCGUUAAUGCAAAAUAGCAGCAGGGGUAGGAAUACAAACUGCUCUGGACAGCAUCGCUUCCAGGGAGCAGUACCUUUACCUGCUCUGUGCCUAACGUACAGCAUCACUCACAAAAGCGUGCACACAUACAGGGCAUCUUAUCCUGCUCAUCUCAGAAACACACAUAUAAAGCAGACUGUCACAUACAUCAACCGAGUAGUUCUGCUGCACCCUCAGGAGAGUUUAAAGAGAUUUAAAAACUGCAUAAGGACCACUUCUCCUCCCCUCUAACAUCACUCAGGUUCUUUCAUAAAGUGGAGCCGUGUACAUCAUUACCUCCUAGAAGUUCUGCAGCACUAACCAGGACCAAUCCUCCAAUCUCAUACACUUCACAUUAAAAAAAUAAAAAAAUAAAAUUAAAAAAUGAGAUUCAAGCAUUAUGAAAAACUUGAGGCAAAUUUUCUCAAUUCUCACACCUCCUAGACUAUUUCCCAUUCUCAGGACAAUAAGAUAGGCCCAUAGGUGGCAUAAAGGUGCACUGCUGUUAACUACAAUGUUAUGACUAAUUUAAUUUUCAGUAGUAAGUGGGAUGUGGGUGGAGUCAGAAUUAAAACCUGUGGUGGUGUGUUGUGGUUUUUUUUUUUUUUUGCCUCUUUCACACCCCUCUUAGUAAUGCUUUGAAGCUUUAUCAGCAUUCCCUUGACACAUUUUGCUUAAUAUAGGCGUGCCAAAAAGUGCCUCUCUGGAGUAACUCUAGACAAUACCAACAUUUAAACUGCCUGUGUCAGAGGAUAGAAUUUGCCAGCAGCACUUCAGGCUGGACCAGGCUCUGAGCGCCCUGAUUGAGCUGUAGGUGUCCCUGUUCAUUGCAGGGGCACUGGACUAGAUGACUCUUAAGGGUCUCUUCCAGCUCAAACGAUUCUAUAAGAAACUUGGAUCUGCUCCCAGAAUGCAAGGAGAUCCCAAGUUCUCAUGUGCAUGCUGGAAAGGACCAUCCAGACUCCAAAGCCAGCCUGAGCCUUCCCUGCCCCAGGCCCAGCCCUCUGGCAGAGCACCACCAGCAGCAGCAGCAGACUGCCAGGAGAGCUGCUCUGCAACUGCUUCAGCAACAGGCAUUGAAGCCUGUUGGUUCCAGCAGACUUCCUUGGAAAUCUCAUGAACAUUAUGUUGAGAGAAAACUGUGGGCAUUUCAGUAUGAAUAGGCAAAGAAAGCCCCACCUUGGACAAUGAAUGUAAGGUAAGCAAUAAACCAGAUUUAUCUUCCUUGAUUUAUACCAAUUUUUGAUGACUCAUGCUCGGUACCCAACCUCUGCUGGACCCCUGUUCAUAGUCUCUGUACCACACUCACGUCACUGUGAUGGAGGGAACGGCCUUCCUGCACAGGGUGCUCUGGAGCAACAGCCACUCCUGGCUGUGCUGCUUGUGCCCAGGGAACAAAGCAGAGAGAUGAUGCAAAUGGCAGAGAGGAAAGUGGGGCCGGGAGCAAGGAAGAGGCCGGAGUGCUGGUGGGUGACCACACCACUGCAGCCAGAAAGGAGGUGCAGGGCUGUGGGCAGAGGGGCAGUGGUUGGAAACAGAUGGGAAGAGAGGCAGAUGGAGGGCUGGGACAAACAAACACAGUAAUCCAAACUGCUUAAAAUCAGACGUUCAUGGAAAAAAUUGUCCUGCUUCCAAUCCUACACAGAGGAUGAACGGAAGGAUCUCAAGAGGUCCCUCACAAUCUGUACUCUUCAGCAUCAGCCCUUCAAAUUGCACUGUUUCAUUCUACACCACUGUAUAUGAUCAAAACAUUUUCUUAACCACCUAAUGGCUACGACAGCAUAGAAUGUAGGCAAAAUCAGAUCCCUGCACAGGGCAUCCCAAAAAGGAAUUUUUAAGUUAUCCUACAUAAGAUCUUACACAAAUAGGUUUGAAAUUUUUCAAAUCAAUGCUUUUUUAACUAAAAUGUUAUGUAAAUUGUUACUAGAACAUCAGAUUCUGCAGCUUCUGGACAAAAUCUCAAAUGUAGGAAUCUAAAAUCAAAGGCUCCAGACUAAUUAGAGAGAGAGAGAAAGCAAGAGGAGUUAAAGCAACAGGGAGGAAAAAAAUAACCAGAAUAGCUGAUUAAUGCAAGAAGUAGAUUAAGAAGGGAAUGAGAAAUAAAGCACUGUCAGGUCAAGGCUUUGAAUUACUUCAAUAGGUGAAGACAGGAAGCAGCAGUGAGGGUAACUGGGUAGUUCCCUGACACAGCCCACGCAGUUUGGGUGGCUCAGGCCUGUCCCUGUGUCCCAGCGCGGCCCUCUAUCCCUUCCCUCACUCUGGGCAAAGUUCUGCAACCACAAGCAGGUGUUCUCCAGGCUGAAAUUCAGAGCAGAGAAACAAGCCGCGAUGGAAGCUUUGAAUGACUUGUUGGGUCAUGUGGAAUUUGCCCAGCACUGGCAGUGCCGUGGAGACCCUUUAAGAGUAGGCAAAGUAGGAAGGAGACAGCUUUAUGUUUCUGAUCAUACCCCAGCCAACACUCUUGAAAUAUCUCAGUACAUCCACUGGGAAACAGGCAGGGUGAACACCACAUUCAUGCUAUUACUUCUCUACACGCU
rnacentral:lncRNA from 1 species